CACGUAGGGCGCAAGCGUUGUCCGGAAUUAUUGGGCGUAAAGAGCUCGUAGGCGGACUGUCACGUCUGCUGUGAAAAGCUGGGGCUUAACCCUGGCCUUGCAGUGGAUACGGGCAGACUAGAGGUAGGUAGGGGAGAAUGGAAUUCCCGGUGUAGCGGUGAAAUGCGCAGAUAUCGGGAGGAACACCGGUGGCGAAGGCGGCUCACUGGCCCGGUACUGACGCUGAGGUGCGAAAGCGUGGGGAGCAAACAGG
rnacentral:rRNA from 1 species